UACGAAGGGUCCAAGCGUUAUCCGGAUUUAUUGGGUUUAAAGGGUGCGUAGGCGGCUUAUUAAGUCAGUGGUGAAAGACUUCAGCUUAACUGAAGAAUUGCCAUUGAUACUGAUGAGCUUGAAUAUACUUGAGGUGGGCGGAAUGUGUCAUGUAGCGGUGAAAUGCUUAGAUAUGACACAGAACACCGAUUGCGAAGGCAGCUCGCUAAAGUAUGAUUGACGCUGAGGCACGAAAGCGUGGGGAGCAAACAGG
rnacentral:rRNA from 1 species